rnacentral:rRNA from 1 species
GGCGAACGGGUGAGUAACACGUGAGCAACCUGCCCCUGACUCUGGGAUAAGCGGUGGAAACGCCGUCUAAUACCGGAUACGACCCGCCACCUCAUGGUGGAGGGUGGAAAGUUUUUCGGUCAGGGAUGGGCUCGCGGCCUAUCAGCUUGUUGGUGGGGUAACGGCCUACCAAGGCGAUUACGGGUAGCCGGCCUGAGAGGGCGACCGGCCACACUGGGACUGAGACACGGCCCAGACUCCUGCGGGAGGCAGCAGUGGGGAAUAUUGCGCAAUGGGCGAAAGCCUGACGCAGCGACGCCGCGUGGGGGAUGACGGCCUUCGGGUUGUAAACCUCUUUUACCACCAACGCAGGCUUCCAGUUCUCUGGAGGUUGACGGUAGGUGGGGAAUAAGGACCGGCUAACUACGUGCCAGCAGCCGCGGUAAUACGUAGGGUCCGAGCGUUGUCCGGAAUUAUUGGGCGUAAAGAGCUCGUAGGCGGCGUGUCGCGUCUGCUGUGAAAGACCGGGGCUUAAC